UCAGUUUCUGCAAUUUAGUUUUUUAUUUUUUAGCAGGAAACCCUGCUCUUGCUCAGAGGGAAAAGAGGACUCCUCCACACUCCGCCCUGGUACUGAAGACAGGUUUUAGAUAAUGGAGGAUAUAACCCCACCUACAGAGGGUACUAGUGUCACUGAAUCAUCUUCUUCAAGAAAUACCAAGAAGAAAAGAGGGCCAAGUAAAAGCGUCAAAACAAUGGCAAUUCCUCAUGGCCAACCAGUGAAGUUAAGAGCAAAUCACCUAAAUCAGUUAAUUGGUGAUGAAGCUGCCCAAUUUAG